GUUUCUCAUCCGAUCACCGAAGUUAAGCUACGUUGAACCUGGUCAGUUCUCCGAUGGGUGAUCGAAAAGGAACGCCACGUGCUGUAC